UCCUGGAUGAAAGAUGGUGUUGACUCCCAGU
rnacentral:piRNA from 1 species